CAACUUCAACCCACAGUUGAAUUCAUCCAUUUCAGAUAUUUUAACAUGAAAUUUUAAAUUGACUUUGAAUUAGAAUUUCUGACAUUUCAUACUUUUAUGAAUAACCCUGUAAUUGCUAGUAUGAGGGGUUAGCACUGUCCAUUACAGGGUUAAUAUACUUUAUGAAAAUUCGGUAUGCAUAUGAACGUUCUAAUGUAAAGGUCAGUGCUCCAGUGUAAAGCUAAAUCUGCC